GUUUCCCUGCCGUGCUCGAGUAACAAGUCAAUUCUUGAGCCAACUCGUAAAAAACGGGAUUGAAACUCAUCUGUGGUGUGCAUACCUCCAUGCGAGGGAGCCUGAAGCAGAAACGGAGAUCCCACCUGUCCUUGGCAGGUUCAAUAAUUGUUUUUUACACGGCACAGCGGGGAAGCC
rnacentral:other from 1 species